rnacentral:rRNA from 2 species
CAUGCAGUCGAACGAUGAAGCCCAGCUUGCUGGGUGGAUUAGUGGCGAACGGGUGAGUAACACGUGAGUAACCUGCCCCUGACUUUGGGAUAAGCCCGGGAAACUGGGUCUAAUACCGGAUAUGACUUCUUAACGCAUGUUUGGUUGUUGAAAGAUUUAUCGGUGAGGGAUGGACUCGCGGCCUAUCAGCUUGUUGGUGAGGUAAUGGCUCACCAAGGCGACGACGGGUAGCCGGCCUGAGAGGGUGACCGGCCACACUGGGACUGAGACACGGCCCAGACUCCUACGGGAGGCAGCAGUGGGGAAUAUUGCACAAUGGGCGGAAGCCUGAUGCAGCGACGCCGCGUGAGGGAUGACGGCCUUCGGGUUGUAAACCUCUUUCAGUAGGGAAGAAGCGAAAGUGACGGUACCUGCAGAAGAAGCGCCGGCUAACUACGUGCCAGCAGCCGCGGUAAUACGUAGGGCGCAAGCGUUAUCCGGAUUUAUUGGGCGUAAAGAGCUCGUAGGCGGUUUGUCGCGUCUGCCGUGAAAGUCCGAGGCUCAACCUCGGAUCUGCGGUGGGUACGGGCAGACUAGAGUGAUGUAGGGGAGACUGGAAUUCCUGGUGUAGCGGUGAAAUGCGCAGAUAUCAGGAGGAACACCGAUGGCGAAGGCAGGUCUCUGGGCAUUUACUGACGCUGAGGAGCG